rnacentral:sRNA from 1 species
AACUUACUUAAUUUAAAUCACACACAUUUCGACACAUGUUUCGGGGUGCUCCACGGUUUGCUUAAGCAAAUUGAGGGAGUCGAAUUCAUGGGGAAUGUGGAGGCCUAAC